rnacentral:lncRNA from 13 species
CUCCUGCUCCAUUGUGCAAAGCCCAAACGAAACCAACUUAAAAACCUGUCAUUGCGGGAACAGUUCUGCGGGGAGAAGGGGGGCUCUUCCACCUAAAUCGUUAGCACGGGCUCAUUGUGUUAAAAAUUCAAUAAGUAAAUAAUGGUAAACCGUGAACGAUUCCCCUUUAUUCCGUGAUUAGUGUCUGGUGUGUUUUCGCAUGUUCGAGUCUUUCCCUGCAUAUUUAUAAAUGCAGGUACACGUCCGUUUAUAUAUAGGCGUGUACAUCCCCUGGUUCACACCGUCGUGCACGCUGCUUUUUUUUCCCUCUCGGUGUGUCAGGAAGGCGAUUCCGAAUCCACUGGAUGGGAUUUUUAAUUUCGGAAGGCACGAGUUCCCCUGGCAUCCGCAAAUGUGACCCGCCGUUUAGAGAGGAAGAGGAGCGCAGACCACCUGCCCAGAGCCCCGGCCAGGAGGGAGGUGGGGAAGGGCUGGGCCCCUCUCGGCGUCCCGGGUUCCCGGCCAGAGUCUGCGGGAGUCUGUGAAGGCGGAGUUUCCGCGCCAGAGGAGCGGGUCCAAGCGGACAGACAGUUCCAGCCCCGCGCGAGAACGGCCCCAUCUCCUCUCGGUCCCCGGGCCCGCCUGCAGCAGCCCCGGCGCGGUUUCCCCUCCCCGCCGCCCGCGCUCGCUCCUCCUGCGCCCAGGACGGUCUCGGGCGCUGGAUCCAGGCGGCGACGGUGCAGAUGGUGGAGCACAGGGGACUGUCCUGGAGCCCGGGAAGGGCGGAAGCUGGAGGCGGCGGUUCAGAAAAGUUGUGAGGUCUCCAGCGCGGGCGGCAGCGGGAGCUGGAGCGGCGACGAAGAGGACCCGAGGGGACUCAGCCCGCCUGGCACCAACGACCGCGGGCGCCAGGGACCCGAUGCGCUGGGAGGACGCUGCCCCGGCAGGUGCGGCGCGCUGGGCCUGGUGCUUUGCGCCUUUCCCUGCACAGGGCAUACUUUAUUCAGCUGGGCACUGAAAAACAAUCUUGGAAAUUAGGAAACGGAACAAGGCCUCAUUUCACACUCAGAAUGUGGGUUGCAAUAGUGACUCUUCUGCUGAUGGGAAAGAAAGGAUUAUACUACCUUUGGAAUCUUGGAUUCAAGAGAGAGGUGUUGGCUUGCCCAACCAACAUGUAUUCCUCAAGACAUAUUUUUGUGGCUUUAUAAAAUUCCACAUGUAUUUCUAACUCAGAUACAUUUUGCUGCCAUCUGGCCCUUGGACAAAAUGAGACCCGGGCAACUGAUGUGUACAGCUUUUCAUAGACCCUUUCAGACAACAUUUACAUAGCAUUUUACUUCAGCUGUUUCACAUAAGUGGAAGAUUUUGCCACAAAACUGAAAUAAAUUUUAAAAACCUGCAUUCUUAAAUUUUGUU